CUUCUACCAACUGCAUCACCUAUACUUGUCUCUCAGCCCCAAGCCACUCCUGUCCUUGGGUGGAGGUCGACAGUAGAGACAGGGCACUCACAUGCCCGCUUCACACAGUGACUGUGAUGUCAACUGCGAUUGGACAAUUGGGAAACAGGGUGGGGAGUCAGACCAACUGGCCGAGGAGGGUGUGCACUGAGGUGCAGGCAGGACCAUGUGUCACCUUGCCAUCAUCCCAGGAGACCUGGCCAGCCUUAUCACUUUGUAGGCAUUUGAGAUUCAUGGGUUCUACAGCACACACCCACACAGAGCCCCCAGUCCUAGCUGUCCCAGGAAAUGUGCCACUGACCUGGGCAAAGGAGCAGAGGGCAGGUUAUGGAUUCUAUCUGGAUGUCACCCUCAAGCCCCUUGCACCCAGAGCAUGGACUCCUAUGGAAGGCAAUGCAACAAAAGAUGCUAUCAUAGUUAUUACUUCAGCAUCCGUCAACAGACCUACAUCAUCAUCACAUCCUGGUGCAGUGUAAGGUGAC
rnacentral:lncRNA from 1 species